UACGGAAAACGAUUCCUCUUCGCGGAAAUAAUCUCCACUCAAAUUUUCACUUGCGGAUUUUCCGUUUUUCAAUAAAUGUAAAAAGAAUAUCGCCGAUUCAGGCGCGGCGCUAAAACUAUACUUGAUGCUAUUACCUCGAAAAACAACAUUUUGACAUAAAUUUUUUAUUGAAUUCGAUUCCUCCUCAUUUGCGGAUUACGUAGGAAUCAUUAUUAUAUGGAUUAUUAAUUAAAAUAAUUAAAAAAAUCAUAUCAUAAAUUUUACUCGGGAACCUGGUUUAUUUUUAGUGACUUUUGUUCCGUCCGUUCCGAUAUUCCAAUAAUAUCCCUAAACGUGCCUACAGGCGCUGUGACGAUAAAAGUAAUGUAGAAUAUUACGGAAAAUCGCUGUAAUCUGGCCUGAAUAUAAGUGCAUAAAUCGUUUCCUCCUCACAUGCGGAUUAUCGUCCAAUAGUUGAAAGAUGCCAUUGAGCUGCAUUAUUAUUGAAAAAUAUGGCCUAAACAUCGCCAGCCACAUAGGCCGAUGGGUUAUGUAGCAUCAGCUGAUUAUUGUUUUCGUCGUGUAGCUUUGGCUCUGCAGUAAUGACUGGACGUUCUGGAUCAUCUCUGUUUCUCAUCACGGUUUGCUGAAUAUUUAACAUCAGAUAAGUAUUACUCUAUCAACAUUUUUACAAUCUGUGUAAAAUUGUUCCGGGUACUUUGUGUUUUUCUAUUUUUUUUUCAGGAUUUUAACGCUGCAAACACAGAGUCGGAUGGACGCUUUAAGCUAAUCCAUCACGUAUUUCCCAUGUAUUUUCACUAUGAUUGAAAAUAGUAAAAUAAUGGGCUAAACCUCCACUAACAUUUGAACCGGUGAACGCAAUAAGUCCUGAUAACGAAUUUUCUACUACAUCAUCUCUGUAACAGUCUUCUGUGUCUAUUAUUAAAUAGGAAUUAAUGUUAUACGUCAAACUUGCAUAGUUAGAACAAUUUUGGCAAUACACGUUUGUAUUAUAUAAAGAAUUUGUUAUUUCUUUUUCCAAACAAGAGAUACCAUUUGUUAUGAUUGAUAACAAAUUAGGUACUAUUACAGGUACAGUUUUUGAUGAUCUAUAUUGACAAAGAUGACAAUAUAUCUCUUGGGUGUUAUUACAAGAAGAUUCCGUAAGGAUUGAAAAUAAAUUAUUUACAUUGUA